rnacentral:rRNA from 1 species
GAUGAACGCUGGCGGCGUGCCUAAUACAUGCAAGUCGAGCGUACAGACGAGGAGCUUGCUCCUUUGACGUUAGCGGCGGACGGGUGAGUAACACGUGGAUAACCUACCUAUAAGACUGGGAUAACUUCGGGAAACCGGAGCUAAUACCGGAUAACAUGUUGAACCGCAUGGUUCAACAGUGAAAGACGGUUUUGCUGUCACUUAUAGAUGGAUCCGCGCCGCAUUAGCUAGUUGGUAAGGUAACGGCUUACCAAGGCAACGAUGCGUAGCCGACCUGAGAGGGUGAUCGGCCACACUGGAACUGAGACACGGUCCAGACUCCUACGGGAGGCAGCAGUAGGGAAUCUUCCGCAAUGGGCGAAAGCCUGACGGAGCAACGCCGCGUGAGUGAAGAAGGUCUUCGGAUCGUAAAACUCUGUUAUUAGGGAAGAACAAAUGUGUAAGUAACUAUGCACGUCUUGACGGUACCUAAUCAGAAAGCCACGGCUAACUACGUG